rnacentral:misc_RNA from 1 species
CUUGGUCAUUAGUGGGUACGGCUUCCAUCCCAAUGGGAACUGCAAUUUACGCAGGGUUAGCUGUGACCUCUCACAAUACAACCAAUCUUAACAAUACAAGUUUCGGAAAUGUGGAGAUCCUGGCUGCCACAACAGGACAACCUCCGCACUGGAGUUCGGUCCAAUUUGAUGGUCAAACUGGAGUACAUCUGC